CACACCUGUUCCCAUGCCGAACACAGAAGUUAAGCUCCUUAGCGUCGAUGGUAGUUGGACUUACGUUCCGCUAGAGUAGAACGUUGCCAGGCU
rnacentral:rRNA from 1 species